rnacentral:lncRNA from 1 species
AAGAUGACCAUCAAACAAGGAGUUAAUUAAAAGAAUAAAUUAGUUAACUAUUGCAAGUCUAACUUAACCCGAAUAAUUAAUCUAGUGAAUAUAAUUAAAUUAGACAAUUGGCCACUGUUUAAGUUAGUUUAUUUGCUAAGGAUUAGGGUAGUGAACACGAAUCUAAUCACUUGAAUCGGUAACCAACGAAAGAAUUAAUCCAUUGCACCAUUACCUUGAAAUCAACCAUAGAGUUAACCAAGUUGAACUAAACAGAAGUUCCUUUCCAAUUAUUGAAUCUAGUUAAGUCGUUAUUUUCUAGUCUUAAAUUAGUAAUAGUUAGUAAGUUUCUAGUCUUGUAAAACUAGAGAAAACCCCUACUUCUUAAUUAACUUAGAUAAAAUUAGUUUUUAAUUUAAUUUGCCGUUCCCUGUGAUCGAUACCCUGCUUAUUUAGCUAUACCACAAUUGAUAGGUUCACUGCCUUUUGUGUGUUAUUUGAUAAUUAAAAGUAGGUUUAAAACUAAGUGAGUUUGCACACAUCAAGUUUUUGGCGCCGUUGCCGGGGAACGGUUCUAAAAUUAAUAUUAAAUUCUAGUUUAAUCGAUCCUUUGUGUGGGAUUUAUCUUACACAAAGUUAUUUACAAAAGUAAUUCAGUAAGUAAAAUUAGUUUAUAAAAAAUUCUGUUUUUAGGAUAACUAGAAAUUUUUUGGCUUUGAACUCGCCGAGUGCAUUCGUGACGACUCAGCGAGUACAUCGCUGUUUCAGCUUUAUUUUUUUUAUUUCGUUUUUGUUCCUUUUACACGUUUCAUUUCUUUUAUUUUGUUUGUUUAUAGUUGUUUCAUGAACCGAGGAUCUGAUACACCCCUAGUACCUCCUUUGGAAGACCCGAAAUCUGCAUUAAGAAGAAGCAAAGGAAAAGCCGUUGGAGAAACCACAUCUUCAAAGAACUCACCACUCAAAAACUUAAAAUCCGUUUUCAGCAAGAAAAAGAGCAGCAAAUCAGGAGCAUCNCUCGUUAACAAUUGAAGAACCAAUUCACGAAGAUAUCGAGUACGAGACCGAGGAAGAAGAAGAGCAUAUUUCCGAGCACGAAACCGAUUCCGAAGAAGAGUUAGCUAUCACUAUGGCUAACAUCGAUGAAGUCCCCAUGGGGGAGUGGAAGAAAAGGAUGCGUGAUGACACCGGGCCGGGACUUGUGCAACCCGCAAUUCCCGCGACCGCCACUUUCGAACUAAAAGUCCAUAUUCUCGCCCAACUCAAGGAGAUUCCUUUUUUACGGGAAGGAUCACGAAGACGCUUACAAGCACUUGGAAGAAGUGAAUGAUGUGGUCGAUUACUUCAACGUCCCGAAUGUCCCACGCGAGACCCAGCUUCUUCGAAUGUUUCAUGUCACAUUUAAAGGAGCUGCAAAAGAUUGGUUAAAGUCACUUCCUCCCGGAUCGUUCACCACAUGGGCCAGANUAGACCAUUUAUGCCCGCCCUCCAAGAUAGCCAAGCUUAAGAAAGCCAUUGCCAACUUCGAGCAACAACCCGGCGAAUCUCUUUAUGAAGCUUGGGAAAGAUACAAGAGCUUACUUAGAAAUUGCCCACAUCAUGACCUCAAUAGCCAACAAGAAGUCUCUAUCUUUUAUGUUGGAGUUAAUGUCACCACAAGGCAAUUGCUUGAUUCUCAAGGCCCGCUCACAAAGAAGGCACCCCCGGUAAUUAAAGAAUUAAUUGAAGAAUUCUCUAAACACUCUAGAGAAUACCACAAUCCGAGAAACGAAGUAAGUCGGGGGGUAGUGAACGCGGCAAAUGAUAGCAUGGCGGCGGUGAUAGCUAAGCUUGAUAGUCUAGAUCGAAGAAUGACAAAAAUGGAUCAAACAAUCCAUGCUAUUAGGGUAGGAUGCGAAAAUUGUAGAGGGCCCCAUCUCACAAAGGAUUGUGAUUUGGAUGAGAAUGGAAAUAAGAAAGCUCAAGUCUUCUAUUCAAGUGGCGAUCGAUAUGAUGAAAAUUGGCGGAAACCUAAGAAGGAAUGGCUACCAUACGAAGAGUAUAAGAAGGCAAAGGAGGAGAAAUACAAGCAGAAGGAGAGGGGACUAUACCAAAAGGAAGAACCGGUAGAAAAGAAAGCCGAUUUAGAAGAGUUAUUCACUAGAUUCAUAGCCGCGUCCGAAAAAAGACACAAUGAUCACGAUGCUGCCAUACACGAGACCAGAAACAUGCUUAGGAAUCAGCAAGCAUCAAUUCUCAACAUUGAGAAACAGCUGGGGCAGCUUGCGCAUCAAGUGAAUGAUAGAAGACCGGGUCAACUUCCGAGUAACACCGAACCCAAUCCAAGAAUGGAGAAUGUAAGUGUAAUAACCUCCAGCAGUGAAGAAACAUUCACAGAAGCACUGAAAAUCUCCAAGAAGAAGGCAGAAAAGGAAGAAGAAUCGGAUCCAGCAAAACCCGAUCCGACUCGCCGAGUCACUCCAAUGGACUCGACGAGUCCAUGCGUAAAUGAGAAAACUGUCAGUUCUUUGAAGCCUUAUAAUCCUCCUCUGCCAUACCCAAUCAAAGCCAUGCCUGCAGAAAAAGUAGAAGCAUACAGAACCUUCAUGACGCAUGUUAAAGCUUUACAAGUUAAUGUGCCAUUUGUGGAAACAAUGCUACAAACACCUAAGUACUUCAACUUGCUUAAGGGCCUUUUUGCUGCUAGGAAAGAUUUGGCUGAAGUCGCGGAAAUAUUGAUGAGUGAGCUACCUGAAAAGAAGGGUGAUCCGGGAAAUAUUGUGAUCCCGUGCCAAUUUGGUAAUGAAGUUUCCACCCGAGCAUUAGCUGAUUCGGGGGCAAGCAUCAAUUUGAUGCCUUUGUCAUUCUUUAAGAAGUUGAAUUUACCAGAACCAAGGCCGGUGAAUAUGAAGAUCCAUUUGGCGGACAAGACGAUAAUUCAUCCACAAGGCGUUUGUGAGGAUCUCCUAAUAAAAGUUGACAAGUUUAUUUUCCCAGUAGACUUCGUGGUAGUUGAUAUGAAAGAAGACCCCGAAAUUCCAAUUAUUUUGGGGAGAUCAUUCUUGAACACCGCGUGUGCUUUAAUUGAUAUAUGUGAGUCUACAUUGACAUUAAGGGUGGGUGAUGAAUCUAUAAUGUUUAAAGCUAUUCCAGAAGCCAAGCAAGAAGAAGAAAAGAAUGAAGAAAUCUCAAUUAUCCAAUUGGAUGAUGAGAUAUUACAAGAAGAGCUUGCACGUUUGCUAAAAGAAGAUCCAAGCAAAUUUUUGAUACACUCUGAAGAAGAUGUAGAUGUUAACAAGGACUUGGAAGAGUUAGAAAAGCUACUGGAAGGAGCCAACUCAGAAAACACCCAAGAAGUGAUGAAACCCGAUCAAACUCGCCGAGUCACCUUAAUGGACUCGACGAGUCCAGUCAAAUUUGACAAAGACUUGGCCGACUUAAAUCUGUUUGUUACUAGUUCUUCACAUACCUUGGAUUUAGAUAGUAUUCAUGAUUCUUUAGAAGAACAAACAGCAGAAGGAGGAAAGGGAAGGAAAGUUCAAUAUGCCGAUGUAGCAUGUCUUGAUACGAUUCCGUUUGAAGAUGGGUGGAUCACAGAAAAGGAUGAAGAGACAAAGGAAAGAAGGGUGGAAGCUGAUCAGCCAUUCACUACUAAACCUAAAGCACGAACCAUUACAAAAUAUGAAGUAAUUAAAUUUAAAGAGAAGGAAGUGCAAGAGAAGGUGAAAAAGAAUGGGGAAAAGAAGAAAAAGAGGAAAAGGGAAGCCCAAGCAGUUGAGGAUGAUGUUGUGAAAAGGAGAAGAGAUGCGUUGAAAAGGGAUUACAAGAAGAAGAUUCACACUUACAAGACCAAGUACAAACCACAAAGGACUAGGCGUGCAUUCCCGAUGCUCGAAGAUGACGAAACGUAGACGGGAAGGAGUCUAGCUAAUGACUCCUUAAAAAGAAGCGCUUGGCGGGAGGCAACCCGUUAUAUAGAGUUUGCUUUUUUUUACUUUUUAGUUUUUUUUAAUUUUUCCUUCGUUUUUGAAAAUGUUAAUUCUCCAAUUCAUCGGACAUGUCUGCUUGAGAGUGUGCAUGGGCUAAGUGUGGGGUGAAAUGAUUUUAAAUAAAUAACAAAAUUUCGAAAAUUAUGAAUUUUUGCAAGAGACUCGCCGAGUCUGACCACAACUCGACGAGUAUAUAUGGAUUUCAAAAAAAGUUUGACUUCGCGACCAGACUCGCCGAGUCUGACUCCGACUCGACGAGUCGGUAUUAUUUACAGAAAAAAAAUAAUUUCAAAAUUGCUUUUACAUCCGGUAACUAGGGUUUUAACCCUAAGAAUCAGUUUAUUCUCACACACAGUCGCCGUGCGCCUCUCUCUCAACUUCCUCUCAAGCAUUCAUAUUUUUUCUUCAAGUUUUCUUCAAAUCUCUCAAGUUCAAACUCAAAAGGUAACAAAUUUCUUCUUGAUUUCUGUUAAAAACGUGAUUAUAAGGCCAUCUAUGGUAGCAAUUGCAUGAAAAACCCGUUUUUGAAAAGUAAUGAAUUUCUAGGGUUUCGAUUUUUCAUGAUAUCUGAACGUUUAUUUUGGCCUUAAUACCUUAACAGUAAGUGCAUAGACAAAACCCUUGACAAAAUUUCCAGGUUUCAUGGCCUAAUUUGCAUCGACCCGUCGACUGACUCGUGCAGUUUGCGCGACUCGCCGAGUCGAGCCUGGAUUCGACGAGUCGAGUCGGGAAACAUAUGUGAGAUGUUUGUUUUUAAUUAUAUCUUGGGUUUUCUUGCGUUUGUGUAUAUGUUUUGCAGAAAUCAUGUUUAGAAGGGGGCAAAGUUCCAGUGGCCACCAAGGGGAUUUUCCGUGGCUAAACUUCCCUCAAAUNAUUGCGGAAAUGGAAGAAGAAGCUGGCUGAUAUCAAGAAGAAAGAGGUCUAUGUGCCCAACCGGAUAGAUUGGGAAUGGCUGCAGCAUGUUCGCUAUGAGGAGGAAUUAGCUCCUUAUCUUUUAAAGGAGUUUCAUUAUAAUGGCGAAACAAUGGUUUGUGACGGGUGGAGCCGGGUCUUCCGUAUUCAAGAACCGGUUUAUUUGGAGCUGUGCUUAGAGUUCUUUUCCACGGUGUCUUUUACCGGGGAGUGGAUGUCUUUCACCCAACAAGCUUCAGUUUCUGCCUUGGGGGAGAAUUUCAUCAAUGCUCUGUGGUGGAUCUUGCAUGCUGAUUAGGGGUUUAUGACCAGCCCUUGGUCUCAACACCCAUCUUUCGGGCCUUUUUGGCACAAGCACAUAUGGAAUUUCCCGAAGGAGUUACAAGUGCGGGCUGCUGGAAUACCAUUGGUAAUAAAGUUUAUAUUCCAAAGUCGGCGCAAGAAGGGAGCAUUCGAUCCCCAACACAUCGCCUCAUUCAUCGUCUAAUUUCAUCCACCAUCAACCAACGAAAAGAUGAUGACACGAAUUGAAUUAGGAGUGCUAGCUUCAAAAAGGUUUUAGAGUUAUAGAAUCAAAGUGAGAAAGAGAGUCAAGAAAGGAGGAGCGUUAGAGUUAAAGUGUCCGGUCAUNGGUCCUUAGAGAUGUUAGCAAGGGAGUCUAGAAGUGAAUAGAAAGUAUAGAGAGUUUAUUGGAAGCUGGAUCAGAUGCAGAAUUAUAUUAUUUUCAUUCAGUGACCAACUCGUCGAGUGCACUAAACUGACUCGACGAGUCGCCCUUAAUUCUCAACAAUCCAAAGAUUUCCCGAAGUAACUCGACGAGUCUGGUAUAUACUCGACGAGUCGUUUGGUUUCAUGUCGAAGGGGCUGCUGAUUUGAUGCUGAGUAGAGUACCACUUGACUAUAUAUUCUUUCCAUAAUUAUUCUUGAAGAUCUUACACUGUUAUCCGCGUAUUUGGAGUGACCCACACGAGACAAGACACCCAAGGCAUGGAUACCAUGUCUAAAGUCAAUUGAAGUUGGAGCUGAAAAGGAAGUGAUCAACCUAUCCACUGCUAUCCCAGGGGAGUUUGUUCCAAUUCCCUCUUUAGUUUUUUUUUUUUAUGUUUUUGUCAUACAUAAUAUGCAAUGAGGGCAUUGCAUCAAAUAAGUGUGGGGUAGGGGGUUGGUUACAUAUUAGAAAAUUUAGAGUCUUAAUUUAGGCUAAUUUUAAAAUUUUGCAUACCAAAAGUAUUACUUAGGAUCUAAAUUAGAAAAUUUUGGUAAAAGUAAAAUUAGGACUCCAUGUUAGAGUUGUGUUGAUGAUUGCAUGAAAACCCAAAUGUUUAGUUGAGCCUAUAUACGUUCUAGUGCAUUUGUGGCUUCCUUAUUCUAGUGAAAUCAUGGGACAAAAACACGACCCUGCUCGGCCCGAGGGAUGCAAUAUGUUUAGCAGCCUAAACUUGAAAUGUAUCCAGGAAGAUUGUUAUCAUUAGCCAAUAAAGGUUGAGGUUGAGCGCCCCUGCUUAAGCAUGUAGGGAUUUGAGUGAAAAAAAAGAGAGGUACAUGUAAAAAAAAGAGAGAAUUACAAGAGAAAUUGUAUGAAUUUUGGAGCAAUUAAAGUGAAGAUCAAAAGAUCAAAAUUCCAAGAAAUCCAAAAAAAUUGAAGAUACCCGAAAAUCAAACAAUAAAGGUGGUGAAUUCAAAGAGAUCAAAGAAAAUAUCAAAGAAGAGAUGAAUUCAAAAGAGCUCCAUAGUGGUAUCAAAAACUUGUAAUUUUAGAUUAUGUAUGCUCGGGUUGCUCAAUUAAAAACACCUUGAGGGUAAGAGGUUUUCUGCGGAUGGAUUCGGAGGGUUGCAUAAAAUGAGCAUAGUUCGGGAUGAGUGGGCAAAUGUUUAUGAGGAUUGUGAGUAUUUAGAGUAUGGGAGGUCUUUAGGAAAAAUUUUAGACACAAAUGCAUGCGUUGCGGUCUUGGCAUAAUGGCUGGGUUAGAUUGGAGUUGUUAUAUAUGAUUCUAAUAUGUUUAAAAUUCAGUUUUGCUUGGGGGCAAGCAAAAGACAAGUGUGGGGUAUUUUGAUAUGUGCAUAAUUAGUUCAUAUUAAGUAUACAUUUUUACUCAUUUAUUAGCUAAAUUAUUGCAUAUUAUGGACAAAAGGUACUUAAAAGUGUUAAAUUAUGUUUUUCAGUCCAAAGAUGAAGCUCGGAAGCGAAAGGAAGCGGGAGAAACAGUUAGAAGAUCGAGAAUGGAAUAAAGAAGAAAAACACUAAAAAUGGCACCUACUCGGCGAGUCAGAUCGACUACUCGGCGAGUCCAAUCGAAGAAUCGAGAAGAUAAUGACUCGGGAUCCCAGAGAGUUAUCACAAUACGGGGAAUGUGAGAGGGACUCGACGAGUCACCACAUGACUCGACGAGUCGAUUCGUAUAUUUAAAGAUAAUUCCACAGAUCGAUUGAGGGGAGUUCUGGGACGAUUCAGAAGUACUUUGCUACGAUUGAGAAGCCAGAAAAACCCUAGAAGACGACGAAGGAAGCUAGAAUUCAAUUCCGGAGAGUAAUUAAGGCAAAAUUUCAUCAUUCCACUUAUUCUUUUGUUUAUUCAUCAUGAUUAAGCAACUUGACUUUGUUUGUUUGCUGUUAUUUACUUUAAUUAUGAGCUAAAACCUUUAGACUUCUGUUUGGGGAUACAAAGUUGACAAUAUGGUUUGAUUGAUUGGUAGGAUUAAUUCCAAGUUGGUGAAUUUUUGUUAUUUUAGCUUGCUAAAGAACCUUGUGUGUGAAUAAUAAUUAAUUUUCUGUUAAUAGGAAGAUAAUUGAUUAGCAUGAACAUCUAUUGAUUAUUGACCUCAUAUGCUAUGUGAUCACUAUGCUAUAUGUCUAGGAUUAAUGAAUAUGAAACUAGAAUUAAUAAGAAAAUUGAGUAAAUUCAUGUGCAAGCUUGUAAGAUGACCAUCAAACAAGGAGUUAAUUAAAAGAAUAAAUUAGUUAACUAUUGCAAUUCUAACUUAACCCGAAUAAUUAAUCUAGUGAAUAUAAUUAAAUUAGACAAUUGGCCACUGUUUAAGUUAGUUUAUUUGCUAAGGAUUAGGGUAGUGAACACGAAUCUAAUCACUUGAAUCGGUAACCAACGAAAGAAUUAAUCCAUUGCACCAUUACCUUGAAAUCAACCAUAGAGUUAACCAAGUUGAACUAAAUAGAAGUUCCUUUCCAAUUAUUGAAUCUAGUUAAGUCGUUAUUUUCUAGUCUUAAAUUAGUAAUAGUUAGUAAGUUUCUAGUCUUGUAAAACUAGAGAAAACCCCUAUUUCUUAAUUAACUUAGAUUAAAUUAGUUUUUAGUUUAAUUUGUCGUUCCCUGUGUUCGAUACCCUGCUUAUUUAGCUAUACCAC